rnacentral:misc_RNA from 1 species
UAAAAAUAUCCAUUAGAGGUUUCGCGACGGCGGGGCGUGUUAAGCAUCGCAUCUUUGUGUUUUAUAUUUGGGAAAAUUUUGCUUGUUGUCUAUACAAAAACCUACAGCAAACAAGAAGAUAAAAGCAAGCCAAAUAACCGAAAUCCUUGAAAUAUCGACUUUUGUAUUCGGGCAAAGCUCGCUUGCUGUGGAAGGGUUUGGCUCGUGAAAUCGAAGGGUUGUUUCGAUUCUUUUCAGUCCUAGGCCUUGGGUUUGUCUUUGCUUUUUAGGGUUUCAAAUUCUCCGUUCUUACAUGGUCUAUGGACUCCCGUUUUAUGCCAUUUACCUGUUUGUGAAAAUGCUCCUGAGAUCUUGUCUUGGUUGAUCCGAAAUUGUGUAUUAAAAAGUUGAAGGACAAAGGCCAAUGAAGCAA